rnacentral:rRNA from 1 species
ACACGACUACAUUAGAUACCCGCGUAGUCCUAGCCGUAAACGAUACUCGCUAGGUGUCGGCCACGGUGCGACCGUUGUCGGUGCCGUAGGGAAGCCGUGAAGCGAGCCACCUGGGAAGUACGGUCGCAAGGCUAGAAACUUAAAGGAAUUGGCGGGGAGCACCACAACAGGUGGAGCCUGCGGUUUAAUUGGACUCAACGCCGGAAAUCUCACCGGAUAAGACAGCCGAAUGAUUGUCAAUCUGAAGGUUUACAUGACUAGCUG